GACGAACGCUGGCGGCGUGCUUAACACAUGCAAGUCGAACGGAAAGGCCCUGCUUUUGUGGGGUGCUCGAGUGGCGAACGGGUGAGUAACACGUGAGUAACCUGCCCUUGACUUUGGGAUAACUUCAGGAAACUGGGGCUAAUACCGGAUAGGAGCUCCUGCUGCAUGGUGGGGGUUGGAAAGUUUCGGCGGUUGGGGAUGGACUCGCGGCUUAUCAGCUUGUUGGUGGGGUAGUGGCUUACCAAGGCUUUGACGGGUAGCCGGCCUGAGAGGGUGACCGGCCACCUUUGGACUUGGAUUCGGCCCCGACCCCUUCCGGGGGCCGCAGGUGGGAAUAAUGCCCAAUGGGCCGAAGCCCUAUGCCACAACCCCCGGGUCGGGAUUACCGCCUUCCGGUUUGAAACCCCCUUCCCCUUUUACCAAGCGUUAGGUACGGUAAUUGGUAAAGGAACACCCGGUUACUACGUG
rnacentral:rRNA from 1 species